CCCAGGGCUAGGUGCUAGGUCUGCUCUACUGGUGUCCCCCAGGGCUAGGUGCUAGGUCUGCUCUACUGGUGUCCCCCAGGGCUAGGUGCUAGGUCUGCUCUACUGAUGUCCUCCAGGGCUAGGUGCUAGGUCCGCUCUACUGGUGUCCCCCAGGGCUAGGUGCUAGGUCUGCUCUACUGAUGUCCUCCAGGGCUAGGUGCUAGGUCCGCUCUACUGGUGUCCCUCAGGGCUAGGUGCUAGGUCAUCUCUACUGGUGUCCCCAGAGCUAGGUACUAGGUCAUCUCUACUGGUGUCCCCCAGGGCUAGGUACUAGGUUCUCUCUACUGGUGUCCCUCAGGGCUAGGUACUAGGUCAUCUCUACUGGUGUCCCUCAGGGCUAGGUACUAGGUCAUCUCUACUGGUGUACCUCAGGGCUAGGUACUAGGUCAUCUCUACUGGUGUCCCUCAGGGCUAGGUACUAGGUCAUCUCUACUGGUGUCCCUCAGGGCUAGGUACUAGGUCAUCUCUACUGGUGUCCCUCAGGGCUAGGUACUAGGUCAUCUCUACUGGUGUCCCUCAGGGUUAGGUGCUAGAUCCUCUACUGGUGUCCCCCAGGGCUAGGUGCUAGGUCCUCUCUACUGGUGUCCCCCAGAGCUAGGUACUAGGUCAUCUCUACUGGUGUCCCCCAGGGCUAGGUACUAGGUCAUCUCUACUGGUGUCCCCCAGGGCUAGGUACUAGGUCAUCUCUACUGGUGUCCCCCAGGGCUAGGUGCUAGGUCCUCUCUACUGGUGUCCCCCAGAGCUAGGUACUAGGUCAUCUCUACUGGUGUCCCCCAGGGCUAGGUACUAGGUCAUCUCUACUGGUGUCCCCCAGGGCUAGGUACUAGGUCAUCUCUACUGGUGUCCCUCAGGGCUAGGUGCUAGGUCCUCUCUCAACUCUCUCCUUUCGGGCAUUUGUGACCACAACUCCAUUUUGCUCCUCCCUUCCUAUAGGCAGAAACUCAAAAAGAUGUAGCUGUACUAAGGACUAUUCAACACUGGUCUGACCAAUCGGAAUCCACGCUUCAAGAUUGUUUUGAUCACGCGGACUGGGAUAUGUUCCGGGUAGCCUCUGGGAAUAUCAAUGUAUACACUGAUUCGGUGAGUGAGUUUAUAAGGAAGUGUAUAGGAGAUGUUAUACCCACUGUGACUAUUAAAACCUACCCUAACAGGAACCGUGGAUAGAUGGCAGAAUUCGCGCAAAACUGAAAGUGCGAACCACUGCAUUUAACUCCGGAAAUGUGACCGAAUACAAAACAGUGUAGUUAUUCCCUCAGUAAGGCAAUCAAACAGCCAAAAUGUCAGUACAAAGUAUAGAGUCGCAAUUCAACGGCUCAGACACACCUUUGAGGACAAUACAGUGCCCUCUACCAAAGAAUGUGGCCUCUCCUUCUCCGUGGCCGACGUGAGUAAGACAUUUAAACGUGUUAACUCUCGCAAGGCUGCCGUCCCAGACAGCAUCCCUAUCCGCGUCCCCAGAGCAUGCGCAGACCAGCUGGCUGGUGAGUUUACGGACAUAUUCAAUCUCUCCCUAUCCCAGUCCGCUGUCCCCACAUGCUUCAAGAUGGCCACCAAGAGUGUGCAAAGCUGUCAUCAAGGCAAAAGGGUGGCUACUUUGAAGUGUUUUUAACACUUUUUGUGGUUACUACAUGAUUCCAUAUUAUGUUAUUUCAACGUUUUGAUGUCUUCACUACCAUCGUACAAUGCAGAAAAUAGAAAAUAGAAAAAAGAAAAACCCUUGAAUGAGUAGGUGUGUCCAAACUUCUGACUGGUACUGUACAUCUAAAUGACAUGCUGAAAACAACAGCAUGGUCACACAUAGG